CCCUUAGACGUUCUGGGCCGCACGCGCGCUACACUGACCAGUGCAACAAGCAUCCGUCCUUGGCCGACAGGCCCGGGCAAUCUUUGAACGCUGGUCGUGAUGGGGAUAGACUUUUGCAAUUUUUGGUCUUCAACGAGGAAUUCCUAGUAAACGCAAGUCAUCAACUUGCAUUGAUUACGUCCCUGCCCUUUGUACACACCGCCCGUCGCACCUACCGAUUGAAGAGUUAGGUGAAUUGUUUUGAUCGAUAAGAUUUGACUAUGGUCAACUCUCGUUGUGAAAUUCUGUGAAUCUGACUGUUUAGAGGAAGGAAAAGUCGUAACA
rnacentral:rRNA from 1 species